rnacentral:misc_RNA from 1 species
UCACGAUGGCAACCAUACGCUACAUUGUCCACGAUAAGGCUUUCACCCAGCUGGUCAUUUCCGAGAAAAGUGUGAAUUUCUUUGGUGUACAACAAAAACCUACAAAUACAUGUGAGCCGCAACAAGCUGCCGAGGUACUCUCUUUGGACCAUCACGAUGGUAUGCUUCAAGACGUCUCGCGAUUCAUGCUGUGGUCAUUUCUUGCCAUCAUCAUGGCAACCUGGCUGUGGCGUCAGUAUUACCAGCAUGCGAUGGAUGCACGCAGCAAACUGCCCCUCCCACCAGGGUCCAUGGGCUUUCCAUUGGUGGGCGAGACACUCUCAUUAAUAACUAAAGGCUCUGACUACUACCUAUCUCGGCGGCAACAGUACGGAAACGUAUACAAGACCCACCUUCUGGGACAGCCCACCAUCAGAAUCAUCGGAGCUGAUAAUGUACGCCAUAUUUUGAUGGGGGAGCACGUCAAUGUUGAGGCCAGUCAGCCAAGAUCUCUCCAACGUCUGCUGGGACCAGGUGGACUAACAAAUGCAAGUCCUGACAGUCACAGGAUCAGGAAGAAGCUACUCCUCCGGGCUUUGGCUCCUGCAGCUAUACAAGGACAUGUUCCAACAAUUCAAAAACUUGUAAGAAACCAUAUUUUGGACUGGUGCAGCAAAGGGCAACAAUUCGGAACAGAUAUUUGCAAACGCUUGGCAAUGUCACUUGCUGCCAACGUCCUUAUUGGAUUUGACGUUGAUGAUCAGAACCUGCAGUCAAUAAUCAGCUCCUUCCAGACUUUCACGGGCAACUUGUUUUCACUGCCAUGGGAACUGCCUGGAUCAGGAUUGUCCAAGGGUCUAAGAGCACGAGAACAGCUGAUAAAGGAAAUUAAGAAAAGACUUCACAGGGAGACACAACAGUGGUCCCUCGUUGAUGAACUGAAGAAUCUUGAUGAAACGGCUGCCUCACUCACCGCAGACGAAAUGACAGACGCAGUCUUAGAACUAUGGUUUGCAGGAAAUGAUACCAGUUCAAGCACGGCAAAUUCAACACUACUGGCUUUAGGUAAAGAUGAUGGAGUUCGAAAACAAAUCGAAGAAGAACUGGAAGAGAAUGGACUAUUAAGUUCUGAAGAAGAGCUGACUUUUGACAGUUUAAAGAAACUGACCUACGUUGAUCACGUGGUGAAGGAGGUGCUCAGAGUGUAUCCCCCUGUUGGUGGUGGAUUCAGGAAGGUUAAGAAAACAAUGGAGAUUGAGGGCUACCAGAUUCCAGAGGGCUGGACUGUGAUCUACAGCAUACGAGACACGCAUCAAACAACCAAACUCUUUGACGACAAGGAGGAAUUCAAACCUGAACGCUGGAAUGAAAUGGACGAAAAGACACGUGUGAGUGGCCAACGAUUCAACUACAUUCCUUUUGGAGCAGGUGCUCGUGCAUGUCCAGGCGAAAGGUUUGCCAGGAUGUUUGUGAAAAUCUUUAUUGUGGAACUCAUAAGGACAUGUACAUGGGAACUCAAGAACAAAAGUCCUAAGAUUACCUACUUUCCAGUAACAAAACCUUCAGAUAAUCUCCCUGUGACCUUUCACCUUCGUAAGGAUGUUAACAAGAAUGUGCAACAGAACGUCUAGAUGUCCUUCAGUGGACAAAGAUGAUGGAGUUCGAAAACAAAUCGAAGAUGAACUGGAAGAGAAUGGACUAUUGAGUUCUGAAGACGAGCUGACUCUUGACAGUUUAAAGAAACUGAACUAAGUUGAUCACGUGGUGAAGGAGGUGCUCAGAGUGUAUCCCCCUGUUGGUGGUGGAUUCAGGAAGGUUAAGAAAACAAUGGAGAUUGAGGGCUACCAGAUUCCAGAGGGCUGGACUGUGAUCUACAGCAAACGAGGAAUUCAAACCUGAACGCUGGAAUGAAAUGGACGAAAAGACACACUUGAGUGGCCAACGAUUCAACUACAUUCCUUUUGGAGCAGGCGAAAGGUUUGCCAGGAUGUUUGUGAAAAUCUUUAUUGUGGAACUCAUAAGGACAUGUACAUGGGAACUCAAGAACAAAAGUCCUAAGAUUACCUACUUUCCAGUAACAAAACCUUCA